AUUGAACGCUGGCGGCAGGCCUAACACAUGCAAGUCGAACGGUAACAGGAAACAGCUUGCUGUUUCGCUGACGAGUGGCGGACGGGUGAGUAAUGUCUGGGAAACUGCCUGAUGGAGGGGGAUAACUACUGGAAACGGUAGCUAAUACCGCAUAACGUCGCAAGACCAAAGAGGGGGACCUUCGGGCCUCUUGCCAUCGGAUGUGCCCAGAUGGGAUUAGCUUGUUGGUGGGGUAACGGCUCACCAAGGCGACGAUCCCUAGCUGGUCUGAGAGGAUGACCAGCCACACUGGAACUGAGACACGGUCCAGACUCCUACGGGAGGCAGCAGUGGGGAAUAUUGCACAAUGGGCGCAAGCCUGAUGCAGCCAUGCCGCGUGUAUGAAGAAGGCCUUCGGGUUGUAAAGUACUUUCAGCGGGGAGGAAGGGAGUAAAGUUAAUACCUUUGCUCAUUGACGUUACCCGCAGAAGAAGCACCGGCUAACUCCGUGCCAGCAGCCGCGGUAAUACGGAGGGUGCAAGCGUUAAUCGGAAUUACUGGGCGUAAAGCGCACGCAGGCGGUUUGUUAAGUCAGAUGUGAAAUCCCCGGGCUCAACCUGGGAACUGCAUCUGAUACUGGCAAGCUUGAGUCUCGUAGAGGGGGGUAGAAUUCCAGGUGUAGCGGUGACAUGCGUAGAGAUCUGGA
rnacentral:rRNA from 1 species